CACCGAAAAUGGGAUAUAGGCGUGUUCAACUCGACGAGCCCUAAAAGGUCGCAAAGUUUCAUGAAGCAAAUACAGUCAGGGAAACUAUGUAUUACUUUUGACAGGUAUAGGUUAGAGUGAAUCACAUCUUAAAAGUACUUACCAAAUUACAAGCAGAAUGAAUCAUAUAUAGCAGGAAAUGGGAAGCAAGAUGGAAUAAUAUUGUUGAAUAAUAAAUACGUGCAAGUUUAUUUAAGUUUAUUUGAACUUUAUAUGUUGUUGACAAUACGGCAUGGCAUGAAUCUGUUCAGACAUUGACAGGAAAAUUACCACCAAAAAUUAUGAAGUACAAAAAUUGAAUAGAUACAUUAAAGAAAUUAACCAACGUAGAAUGAAAUAUCAAGACAAAUAACACAAACGUACUCUGAAAAGAGAUGCAAUUACUUUGUCGCAAGAUAUAUCUGGAAAUAGGUUUAAGCAUAUAUUCUGACAUUAAUGAGGAAAUUACAA